rnacentral:rRNA from 1 species
AUGGUGGAGUUGAUGAAGAGGAGGGUGACGAUGCCGACGAAGUCCUGCCAGUCCGGCGGCCUGCCGCCGCCGUUGGCGAGCGCGAUGGCCAUGAUGGCGGCGAUCUCCAUGACCCAUGACAGCGGGUUCCACAUGAAGCCCAGGAACUUGAGCAGCUUGCUCUCCUUCUUCUCCUCCAGCUUGUUGGGGCCGAAGAGCUUGAGCCGGUUCUCGCCCUCCGCCUCGCUCAGCCCCUUCCUGUCGCACUUGAGCGUCUUGAACACCUCAUCCACCGUCACCGUCGACUGCAAAAUUGCAAAUCAAAUCAGUCCAAUGCACACGAGACGUGAAGGCGGAUCAAUGGAGGAAUGA